UGACCUGCUCCAGGCAGGGCGGGGGGCGCAAGGCAGGGCCGGGGGAGAGACCCAGCUCCAAAUAUUGCUGGAGCAGGGUCCCCGGCCCUGAAUAUUGCUGGAGCUCGGUCACCACAAAAGAAUAUAAACCGCCACCUAUGCGGAGGAGGAGAGGGAGCACCACCUUCACCCCCUGCCUCACCUCAGCGGGUCACCCAGCCUGUGGGUCAGUGUCAACAUCUGCUGCAGCUGCACCGAUUCCCACUUCCAGCAACCUCUGCCCCCAGCACUGGCUCUUAGGGUUGCCAACGCUUCAGGAUUGCCCUGGAGUCUCCAGGAAUUAAAUAUUAAUAUUCAAUUAAAUGUGAUGGCAUGUGAUGAAACCUCCAGGAAUACGUCCAACCAGAAUUGGCAACCCUACUGGCUCUACCCCUAGAGACUCUCACAUGUGCCUUCCCCCACCCUGUAAACCCGAGGGGGGAAGGGCACAGGGGCAGGUAUUGGCCUUGCCCUAGUGGUGCAGCCUGGCCGCAGGGUAGAAGCAGCCCACUGCUGAGGAAGUCUUGGCUGUGCCACUGGGCAACAUGCAGAACCGGAGCACCCUCUGCUGGCCAUCACUUCUUGGAAAUGAGUGUUUAGAAGAGCGCUGUGAAAUUUAGGUGGCGUUUGCACACACAAGUUGGCAGUUUGCUUUUUGCAUCCCCUCUAUUUUUUAUUUACUUGUAGCCGUGACAUUAGCAAUGUGUAAAAAGAUGUGUGUCAGAGACGAGGACUCCUGAGAGUUUUGAUCCGGACCAUGCAGCAGUGAGAAGGAACUGGAGAUGUAGU